GAUCCUGGUUCAAGAUGAACGCUAGCUACAGGCUUAACACAUGCAAGUCGAGGGGAAACGACAUCGAAAGCUUGCUUUUGAUGGGCGUCGACCGGCGCACGGGUGAGUAACGCGUAUCCAACCUGCCCACCACUUGGGGAUAACCUUGCGAAAGUAAGACUAAUACCCAAUGAUAUCUCUAGAAGACAUCUGAAAGAGAUUAAAGAUUCAUCGGUGAUGGAUGGGGAUGCGUCUGAUUAG
rnacentral:rRNA from 1 species